rnacentral:rRNA from 1 species
AGGGUUUGAUCAUGGCUCAGAACGAACGCUGGCGGCAGGCCUAACACAUGCAAGUCGAGCGCACCUUCGGGUGAGCGGCGGACGGGUUAGUAACGCGUGGGAAUAUGCCCAAAGGUACGGAAUAGCCUCUGGAAACGGAGAGUAAUACCGUAUGUGCCCUUCGGGGGAAAGAUUUAUCGCCUUUGGAUUAGCCCGCGUUGGAUUAGGUAGUUGGUGGGGUAAUGGCCUACCAAGCCUACGAUCCAUAGCUGGUUUGAGAGGAUGAUCAGCAACACUGGGACUGAGACACGGCCCAGACUCCUACGGGAGGCAGCAGUGGGGAAUCUUAGACAAUGGGCGAAAGCCUGAUCUAGCCAUGCCGCGUGAGUGACGAAGGCCUUAGGGUCGUAAAGCUCUUUCGCCAGGGAUGAUAAUGACAGUACCUGGUAAAGAAACCCCGGCUAACUCCGUGCCAGCAGCCGCGGUAAUACGGAGGGGGUUAGCGUUGUUCGGAAUUACUGGGCGUAAAGCGUACGUAGGCGGAUUAGUCAGUCAGAGGUGAAAUCCCAGGGCUCAACCCUGGAACUGCCUUUGAUACUGCUAGUCUUGAGUUCGAGAGAGGUGAGUGGAAUUCCGAGUGUAGAGGUGAAAUUCGUAUAUAUUCGGAGGAACACCAGUGGCGAAGGCGGCUCACUGGCUCGAUACUGACGCUGAGGUACGAAAGUGUGGGGAGCAAACAGGAUUAGAUACCC